CUUGUACUCCCUCCGUCCGAAAAUACUUGUCAUUGAAAUGGAUGUAUCUAGAUGUAUUUUAGUUCUAGACACAUCCAUUUUGAUGACAAGUAAUUCCGGACGGAGGGANUAGUUC
rnacentral:pre_miRNA from 1 species